CCCAGACUCCUACGGGAGGCAGCAGUGGGGGAUAUUGCACAAUGGGGGAAACCCUGAUGCAGCGACGCCGCGUGGGUGAAGAAGCGCCUCGGCGCGUAAAGCCCUGUCAGCAGGGAAGAAAAUGACGGUACCUGAAGAAGAAGCCCCGGCUAACUACGUGCCAGCAGCCGCGGUAAUACGUAGGGGGCAAGCGUUAUCCGGAUUUACUGGGUGUAAAGGGAGCGUAGACGGUGAUGCAAGUCAGAAGUGAAAGCCCGGGGCUCAACUCCGGGACUGCUUUUGAAACUGUGUAACUGGAGUGCAGGAGAGGUAAGCGGAAUUCCUGGUGUAGCGGUGAAAUGCGUAGAUAUCAGGAGGAACACCAGUGGCGAAGGCGGCUUACUGGACUGUAACUGACGUUGAGGCUCGAAAGCGUGGGGAGCAAACAGGAUUAGAUACCCUCGUA
rnacentral:rRNA from 1 species